rnacentral:lncRNA from 1 species
CUCCAGCCAGUCUACCUGGUUCUACAAGGUGAUCCAAAGAAGUCAUUGCUUGAAAGGCAAUGGAGUUUUCAAGAGGUCAUCACUUACACUCUGAAUACAGUCUCACCAUCAUGAAUACUUGUCUUCUGGGCACAAGUGUGCAGGUCAGAGGACAACUUGAGUCGGGUCUCUCCUUCCACCAUGUCGGCUCCAAGGAUAAAAAACCCAGGCUGUCAGGCUUUAUGGUACACAUGGGCACACAUAUCCCAAAGUGUGCCUGUGGAAGGCAGAGGAUAAAUCUGUAGCAUCAGUUCCUUCCUUCAGCCGUAUGAGUUUCAGGAAUCCACCUCAGACCACCAGACUCACUUCUAAGUGCAAUGCUUUCUGUGACCAGUGUCCUCCCUCUGAAUGCCUGGAAGGACCACCAUGCUUGCAGAUACAGCUCCUACAGUGUGAUCUGGCACAAGGCUAAGAAGAGUAUCUUCAAAGUGCCAGUUUCCAUACCUGUCACUGGAACAUCUUGACAUCUCAGUGUCUCCAGAGAAUGACAUGGCCACUUCACAUUGCUUAUUCACGUGUCACAGUAUGCGCUUGGAGCCAGCCUUGGUGGUGCCAUAGGAGGCCUCGAGUUCCUCAGUGCUACAUCCAGGAGGCCAUAAUCAUUUGGGAUUCUCGUAAAGCAGUGAACCUGUUGGCCAACCCCAGCAGUUCAAGGAAAAGGAUUUAGAACUGCACCAAGGUAUUUGUUGGUCUGUUCUGUUUUGUUUGUUGUACUGGGGAUUGAACUCAGGACCUCCUGCAUGCUAGGGAAGUAAGUGCUCUGCCAUUGAACUAUUGCACCCACCCUUGCACCAAGAUUUGAAACCCGACCUUGCAACUCAGCUAACUUCUUUAUUGCUGGACAGGGAGCUUCUACCCACUUCCCAUGGUGUAAGAAUUAAAUGAGAGGGUAGGAAAAACCC